rnacentral:rRNA from 1 species
AAUGAACCGGCGAGUUACGAUUUGAUGCAAGGUUAAGCAGUAAAUGUGGAGCCGUAGCGAAAGCGAGUCUGAAUAGGGCGUUUAGUAUUUGGUCGUAGACCCGAAACCAGGUGAUCUACCCUUGGUCAGGUUGAAGUUCAGGUAACACUGAAUGGAGGACCGAACCGACUUACGUUGAAAAGUGAGCGGAUGAACUGAGGGUAGCGGAGAAAUUCCAAUCGAACCUGGAGAUAGCUGGUUCUCUCCGAAAUAGCUUUAGGGCUAGCCUCAAGUGAUGAUUAUUGGAGGUAGAGCACUGUUUGGACGAGGGGCCCCUCUCGGGUUACCGAAUUCAGACAAACUCCGAAUGCCAAUUAAUUUAACUUGGGAGUCAGAACAUGGGUGAUAAGGUCCAUGUUCGAAAGGGAAACAGCCCAGACCACCAGCUAAGGUCCCAAAAUAUAUGUUAAGUGGAAAAGGAUGUGGCGUUGCCCAGACAACUAGGAUGUUGGCUUAGAAGCAGCCAUCAUUUAAAGAGUGCGUAAUAGCUCACUAGUCGA